AUUCCAAGGCUGAGAACCACUAAUCUGCAGUUCUUCAAAGCUGAAAAUCACAUGUGUGUUUAUGAACCAAAGUCCACAGAAGAAGGAAGUAUCUAACCAUCAUAAAGUCUGCAAUACUCAAACGAGACCAGCAGGAAAAAGACAAGAAAAAAAGCCACCAAGGGAAGGAAGAGACGAAGAGGACAGAAAGAGGAGGCACAGGAAGGACAGUGACAGCAAAUCUACUUACUCAAUUCUCUCUGGAAGCUCGGUUUGGGUCAUGCCCACACAAUUGACCAAAAUGGUGACCGUAAUAAAUAAACUGAACCACCUGAGAGGGCUGCGUUAAGGAAAAGCUGAGAGUCGCCAUGUUUCUCUGACAUCAUCCACGAUCACCUUGACACUGAACUACUAAAUUCAUAGCUUUUAGCUAGGAUCAGCUUUAUGGCCUCGUCACAUAGCAAGUGCUGGCAUUUACUGAGUGCCUAUCCUGGGCUGGCUACUUCAUCCACAUUAUUUCUAAUACAACUGAACGUAUAGGGAGCUAUUCUAUCUACAUGUUGGAACUAAGAAAAUGGGCUGAAAAAGCUUAAAUAACUUUUCCUAGGUCAUACAGCCAGUCAACCAUGGUGCUGAGAUGUGACCUCAGAUUGUUUGAUAACAGAACCCUGAGCAAGAAGGAAGGAAACAAGAAUCCUUUCUCCAAAAUGGCCUGCUUCCCAGUCACCUUCAUUUCACUAUACAAUAUAUUCUGGAAUUACAUCCAGCCAAUGCCUCUUUUUUUCCCAAAAGAUAAAGAAAAUACUCCUAACAAGUUAGAGGUAAAGGGAGGGUUACCAGCUUUCAUGGGAAUUAAUUCAGUCAGAUUGUUUUCCUGACUUAGCUGAGAUCAGUCACACUGAGGAAACAGACCUCUGGCUAGGAAUGGUGGGGGCAGGCACAGGAAGGAAAAUGCUGGAUCCAGGAGAAAAUUCCAGAGAGGAAAUUUCCAGGAGAAAAUUCCAGAUGGAAUCAAGCUGUGGUAGACAAGUCUGUAUAAACAGAGAGAAGAAUUUUCGAGGUUGCACCAAGGGACUACCACAAAGGGAAGGAGGAGAUAGUGAGGAAGGCGAGUGGAAAGGGGUAAAUAGAUGGAAAGAAAGGUUGGUAGAGAAAACCCAGAGAUAAAUUUCUCCCAUUGGACGUUUUUCUCAGGACUAGUGUGAGUUCCUAACAAUUACUUCCUAAAGAAAAACAAAGCCCAAAGAUAAGCUUGACCUACAGAGAGAGUGAACGACUCAUCUUUCAUCAUUUCAGUUUGAGCAGAAGUAUUUAAAGCUAUUUUAGUUUUCUGUAAAUGUCUUUAAUGUGCCCUGUUUUACAGUUACUUAGGAACACAUCUAUUUUGAAAAGGGAAAUUCUGCUAAUUAGACCAUAUUUUCCUGUUGACUUGCAAUUAAAUUAAGAAAUGUGUUCACAUGGGGGGAAAAUGUUAACCCAAGGAUUAAAUUAAAAUUGUAUCUCCAACUCCAUAAACCUUUAAAAGUAAUGUAUUAGGUAUAAUGUUACUUGUGGAAACAUGCAUAGAAAAUUUGAUUAGAAUUACAGUUUUGGUGAGAUAUUAAUAAUAAGACACGGAGAAUUCCAUAGCUUGAAGAAUAUCUUUUGGGAGUGGAGCUACCAAGUUCAUAAGAUUUAAAUAUAUAAAUGCAGGCUUUUGCGAGAAGGAGACUCUCAACGGCUUUUCUGUCCAGCUAUGACUCCAUCCAGCAAUUAUGAUUCAUCAUAUCUCAAGAUGAAAAGAAUAUUCACUGGUCACUUGGCUCUUUAAAGGGAUUUUAUUUCUAAUUAGCUGUUUCUUACAACUAAUUAAGAUGUAACUCAACCAGGAUGCAUGGAGAGGAGUUUGUAUAUUUGACGUUUUUCUUUAUUUGUAGUUUUUAUGUAAUUGGAUAUGUAUUUAAAAAAAAAAAAAAACACCCAAGUAGAGAUGACAUACUGAGCGAAUAAAUUACCUCAGUUCAUCUCCAUUAACUGCCUACUUACUUAUUGCUGAUACUGUUCUAGGCAGGAUGCAGGCUGGACCUCUUAACUGGCUGUGUGACCUUGGACAAUUUAUUUAAUGCCUUUGAAUAAUAGUUGCAUCAUCUGUAAAAUGAGGAUGCUAGUCCCUUCUUCAAAGAUUUCUGUACCUGUGACCGUGAUGAUGCUUAGGAGGUAUUUAGCAAAUGGUAGCCUACUGUUACCAUUACGUAUCCUUAUAUAGGAUCAGAAAAUCCAAGACUGAAUUAAGAAAAUAUAACUCUCACCGCGUGGCCACAAAGGCAAAGAAAAUAUAAUGCAAGUACACGGAGCAGCAAAGUUUCACACUGAGAGGAGUCCUUGCCAGUUACCCGCUCGCUGAGCGCUGUCCAGCAAUCCAGCAAGCUGCCCCAGAAGGGCAGGGAGAGAGCUCCUCUUACUGGAGUCUCCCAAGAAGAGGCUGGCUACCAUCUGUCAGGCAGCUGAGGCAAGGCUGUUCUUGCAAAUCAACCUCCUGGAAGCCAGGGCUGAAUUUGUCAUUAGGAACUUCCAAUUUGGACAGUCACCAGGGAAGAUCCUCGGAAACCGAGCCAAAGUCUCUUUUUUGACCUAGUUUGGCUUGCCUUGAAAAACAAAACAAAAUAAACCAAAAACUGAAGGCAGAUUCUGGAGCUACCUAAAAGCAGUUAAUAAAACACAGACAUUUGACUGAUUUGUCUCUAACCAUUACCAUAUUCCCCAGUGACAUGAACCUUGGACUAUUGACAUUUUUUUGGUCUACUGACCUUUUUAACCUGCUUGCAGUUUGGGGGUAGCUUGGGAUGUUGGCCGUGCCCCAUGACCAAUGUGGUCCCCCUGAGACAAUCUAUGCUCCACCCACUGUGGUCUGUCCUCUUUGUCCUCUGGCAUGUCUUGUUUUUUUGCCCAAUAAACAGCCACUUCCCAGCACGGCUAAGGCACAGAGUAAAAACCCAUGCUGAUCUCAUCUGCCCAAAGAACCCUCAGGGCCUUCUGACUGGUUAUUAUGUCGUGAGACGGGCAAGCCUCAUAUGGCAAAAAUGUGCCUGGCUUUGCAUCAGCAAAGCUCCUUCAUAAGGAGGACAUUUUUGGGGUCGUGCAUGCAUAGGUGUGUCCCAACUAGUUUAGGUGAACCCAAACCCACCUGUGGCUUUGCAUGAGCACCUCCUCUGUCUUGGGACUGCUAUUGAACACAGUAAAGCCACAAACACUUUUUCCUUCCAAUUUAAUGAUUUCAUUGUUUCAGGAUUCCAUUAGAGAAAACCUCUAUUGCUAACCUCUGAAGAAGGUACUGGACACUGGGCAAAGCCUGAUUCUAAAAGGAAUCAUGUGGAAGAAGCAACAGUGCAAAGGAUAUGAGUGGACAGACACUUUGAUGGCUGUUCUUCUGAUCAGGUUGAAAGGACUGAAUAACCACAGGGCCCGAGUUGCACUAAACCGAGAAAUGGUCCUCCCUUUGUUCAGCACCAUAAACGUCUACAACAAAACAAAGCAGAAGGACCUACAGUGAGAAGCAUGGUCUUCACACAACCAGGUUUUUAAGCAUGCAUGUUGUCAUCUCGGGCUUGUGAGCAAGAAGGGUUCUGGGAACCUUGCAUCCAUCAGUGGAGAGCCAAGUGGAAGGGUAGAGUUAGAAGGGAUCAGGGAUAAAGAGCCAUAUCCUCACCUUCCUAGCAAGACCCCAGUCCCUAUGGGUGGCUGUGCAUCAGGAUGAGCCCAUUAAUAGUGCCCAAUGGGCAGGCAGCUGACCUGGGGCUGGUAGGAUGCAUCAGGCCCACAGCCAGGAUUCUGGCAGCAGGAAGGUGGGUCUGGCUGCAUUACAUUCCUCUUCUGAUCAGUGGAUCAUCCCUGGUGCUGGGGUACUCCCUCUACUCUCCAUUUUCUAGGUCUCGCUUUUGAAACCCUCCACUGGUUCCCUGUGAGCAUCUGGGAAGGUAAGGGCUCUUGGCCCAUGAGAAGAGGGAGAAAGACAUUCCAGUGCCUUUUUAUUUUCUCUGUAGACCAUAUUUGAGAUGGCUAAUUCAUGUCCCUCAACUCCCAAACAUGCACACAUUUUUUUUUUUUUUUUGGCUGCGUGGAACAUCUAAGACACAAUACAAACAGGGAAAUUGUCAUGAAGCAGCUCUUACUUAAACUAGUGGUUCUCAAAUGUUUUGAUUUCAGGACCCUUUAACACUCUCAAAAAUUAUGGAGGGCCCCAAGGAGUUUUUGUUACUGUUUAUACCCUUUUGCUUAUACUGCGUGUGUGAGAGUGUGUGUGUGUGUGUGUGUGUGUGUGUGUGUUACCCCCGAACCCACUGAAACGGUUUUGGGAACCCCAGGCGUUCUGAGAUAAUACUUUGAGGACCACUGGUUUAAACCAUCCUAAUUUCUGUUCCCCUUCCAUACUCUACCCCCACCUACAACCUCAGGAUCUCUGCUCCCCACUUGCAAAGAGACCCAACAGGAGAUCCUAGGCCAGUGGUCAUCCAAGAGAAUAGCCAGCUUCCUCUGAAAAAUUUACAGCAAUUGUUGCUUUUGAGGAUUUGAGUUUAAUUAGCCUCUCCCAUAAAUAUUACAAAAAUGCAAAGAGUGUCAAAGAGAUGAGUUGGAUACAUUUGUCGUUAACUGAGUCUAGCUGAUAGCCACAUCAUCCAGGUGCAGGAGAACUCCCUAGGCUGAGUGGGGCAGAGGCUUCCUCCCCCAGAACUGAGAACAGCCUUUCAAGCCAGUCACCCUUACCCGGUGUGUGCUGUAGAAGGGGUCCAGAUCCUCCAGGGGCUCCCCAACCAGCUCUGCAGGGAGAUCACCAUAGAACUUGGGCAGCUGGUUGCAAGCUUUCAAGUCUAGCUGGGGCCGAGGCUUCUCUUCUUGGUCCUUCUGCUCUCUGUGCUUAUCUUUGGCUUUCUUUGCUGCCUGCUUGGCAGUAAUUCGCUUUUCAAUCUCCACCAGGGACUCUGGAGUGAAUCGACGGAAGUUGGUAGUUUCCAGGGACCCAAAGGGGAAUGCCAUCUUCUCAUUCUUUUUCAGGAAGAAUUUAUACUCUUAUGAGAGUGGAUAUCACCACAGAGAGAAAAAGAAUCCUGGAGCUGUACAUGGAUGCAAGAAAACUGAAAUGGGCGGAAAGAUGACUGGAGGAGAAUUCAAGGACAUUCACUAAGAGAAAGUCCUUGUGAUGCAAUGGAAACAACUAUGACUGGGGCAUGAGGAGACCUGAGUUUGCCCUUGGUCCUUCUGCUGACUUGCUUUCUCAUGUUGAGUAUGUUUUGUUUGUUUGUUUGAUCUCUGAGAAGCAAUCACCAUAGCGAAAGAUGAGGAAGUGCUCUCAGGUGGCCUUUGUGAGCUCUGUUGCCUCAGGAAUCUGGAACUAAUGCUACGGCUGUGACUUGUUCUGAUUUUGAUUUUGUGAGGAAACUGAGAUUCUGUUUAAUGAAAGACUAGGUAGGUUCCACGAAGAUGGAUUGGCUUUGCAGCAACAGCACUGGGUUUGAUCAUGACCUGGCACCAGCAUUUCUCCCUCCCUGUUCAAUUGCCUUCUGGUUGCAACUCCUGGAGGGAUAAGACAAUUACCCUUCAUAUUUGUUCUGUUUCUUGCCUCCCGAGGGAAGGAGAAGCAACAGAACUGUGUUCUCUUGGCUACGUUCAAAUAUGAACAGGACCUUGUGCCUGUAAGUUUCAGAGGCUUCUCCCUUCAAACUGCCACAGCCUGGAAGUGCCCAGCUGAGCCUGCCGGAGGUUGCAGGGUGAGUCAGGAGCACUGAGCUCUUCCUCAUUCUGUCAAAUACUCAGAAAUUCUUUCACUCUCAGUAAUUGCUAAGGGCUUACUGUGCAUUUAGCACUAUCGAGUGUCAUGGAAGAUGGUGUGGUGUAGAGGGAAGAGCAGUGGGCAGAAGUCAGAAGACUGGAGUCCCAGCCACAGGUCUGUAAUGAACCAUGUUCAGCCUUUGGGUAUCUUCUCUCUCUGCAUUUCAUACUGUUCAUCUGUACAAUGAGGGACUGGUCUGGGGUUAUACUGAAGCCAUGUUUCCUGUUUUGGAGGCCUUUGAGUCUUCUCGGGGAGAAAAGAAACCUUCCUGACUAGGAAAUAAUUAGAAAAAUAAAUAAGGGCUACAUUACGUGGUUCUGACCAUGGAGUUUUAAGCAAUAAAGACAAGUGACUCAAAGCGAAGAAGGGAGGGGCUGGAACAGUAAGAGAAGCUCGGUGAAGCCUUCCUGGAGGAAGUUGUUUGUACAGUGUCUUUAUGACUGUAUAUUUUGUAAUAUGAAUCCACAUGUUCUAGCUUGAGAGGCAUAAGUGCCCUCUGGGUCUGGAACCCUGAAGACUAUGCAAAUGUACGCCCACUGGGUAUGCUGAAUGCUCCCUCUGGGGCACUUUCUGGCCUUGAUUGAACACCUGCUAAAGGCAGAGGCACCUAUAUGAGGCCUUUUUCAUGAAGCAAUUCUAUGCUGUUAAUCUUCUUAAACAUUAAUUAUUUUAGAGCCAAAUAUGUUUCUCAUGAACAAUAAUUCCGCUUUUUCUUUGCUAAGUUUCUAAAGAAAAACCAUGCCAAUUCUGACAGGUAGAAAUGGGUUUUGGACAAGGUCUAAGGCAAGAGCACUGUGAAUAUUAUAUAAAUGCCAACCAACAUAAUGCAGCCCAUCGGUUUAUUCCAGGAAAGCAAAGUGGACUCAGAAACUCCAGCGUGGCUGCCCAGCUCCCAACACUGAAGGAAUCGUCUUUUGUCUACAAAUCACAUUGUGACGUGGUCCCGAAACUCUGCUCCCAAGAGGCAACUUAUGACAAAAACAACGUAUCUCCUUUUAGGCCACCACUUAAAUGUCACUUCCUCGGAGAUGCCUUCCUCGAUCUUGCCUUUCUAAAUUAGGAGCCUGCAGGAUGAUCCCCCAGAGAAUCCUGUUCUUUCCUGAUGCUGUCACAGUUUAUAAUUAUAUUUAUUUGUGUGUUUAUUCAAUAUCUGUCUGCCCCACUAGAUUGUCAGUCCUGUGAGGGCAGAAGCAAAAUUUCUUCCGUCCACAGCUCUGUGUCUCUAGUGUCUGGCACCAUGUACAGCAUGAAAUGUCAUCAUUAAGGAAAAGUAGGGACUCAGUGAAAUAGUCACAUUUUUCAGAUCAUGGAGCAUAUGCUUAUGUUUCAGAGUUUUCAAAAUGCAUUGUGUGAUUGCAUCUAAUACCUGGUCCUCUGCCUUUUUUUUUUUUUACACAUCUGUACACGUUUUCGCACUUAUCACAUGUCUCCCCCAACACAACAAAAUAUUUUCCACUAGUCAAGAAAUCGAGGUAAAGUGUGGCAACAGAGUGUAACGGUUACACUCUUGGAUUCUGGAACCAGACUAUCUGGGUUUAAGUCGCCACUGUGCAAAUUACUAGAUGGCUAUCUCCAAUCAACAGAUGAAGAAUCUACAGUCCUGGUGGACAAUGGGUAUCGUUCAAGGACUUCAGUUAGAAAAAGGCAGGGCUGGGACACUAACCCAGAUUUUCCAGUGUUUUCCACGUUCCAGCAUCAAUGCUGUCAGUCAGUCGUCUCAGGAUUCCCUUUCUCCUGCUCUCAUCCUGAUUUCCCACAAAGCUGGGAUUGGAAUCACUUGGAGCAAGAGACAUAGAGCCGUGUUGGACGAGCACUGAACCACGGGCAGGACAUGCUGAGCCCUCUCUGCUCACUUGGUUGCAGCUGGGCACCGAGCCAAGAAUAAGCUAAUAUUUUCUGAGCACCCGGAUCCGGGCCUGCCUGCUGACAAGCUCUGAGGCACUCUGAAUGCAGCCUCUGAAUGACGCUGACCCACGCUUGACCUAUGGUCACCCACUGAGCCAGCCAGCACUUAAAAAAAAAGUAGUCACAACUUCACCUGUUUAAAAAUUGAACCAAAAAAGGUGACUGUCCUAUUAAUAAAUACAUUUUCUUGUUUGCUGUUAUAUGUGGGGCUGCAUAUAUACAGUCUAUAGAGGACGCUGGGUAUUUUACAUACGUUGUAUCACUUAAUCUUCACAGCAUCAUAGGAAAUCUAUCCUAUUAUUAACCCAUUUCCACAGGUAAGGCACUAAAGCCCUGAAGCUAGCUUAGCCAAGGUCAUAGCCUAUUGGAUAUCUAAGUUGUUACUCUUAUGUCUUCUAUCCCAGAAGGUAAAAAAUAAAAAUAUGAACCCUGAUUAUUCUUGGGGAUUGAUAC